CCAUUANGNGGGUACGUUNACUAGCGAACGAUCCUAGCUGNNNAAAGGAAUGAUCAANCNACNUGGACUGAGACACGUCNAGACUCUUACGGGGAGCAGCAAGUGGGGAUNUGCCCAAUGGGGAAACCUGAUGCAGCCAUGCCGGGUGGUUGAAGAAGCCUUCGGGUUGUAAAGCACUUUCAGUCGUGAGGAAGGCGGCUAAGUUAAUAGCUUAGUUUUUUGACGUUAGCGACAGAAGAAGCACCGGCUAACUCCGUGCCAGCAGCCGCGGUAAUACGGAGGGUGCGAGCGUUAAUCGGAAUUACUGGGCGUAAAGCGCAUGCAGGCGGUCUGUUAAGCCAGAUGUGAAAGCCCGGGGCUCAACCUCGGAAUCGCAUUUGGAACUGGCAGGCUAGAGUCUUGUAGAGGGGGGUAGAAUUUCAGGUGUAGCGGUGAAAUGCGUAGAGAUCUGAAGGAAUACCGGUGGCGAAGGCGGCCCCCUGGACAAAGACUGACGCUCAGAUGCGAAAGCGUGGGGAGCAAACAGGAUUAGAUACCCUGGUAGUCCACGCCGUAAACGAUGUCUACUUGGAGGUUGGUGCCUUGAGCACUGGCUUUCGGAGCUAACGCGUUAAGUAGACCGCCUGGGGAGUACGGUCGCAAGAUUAAAACUCAAAUGAAUUGACGGGGGCCCGCACAAGCGGUGGAGCAUGUGGUUUAAUUCGAUGCAACGCGAAGAACCUUACCUACUCUUGACAUCCAGCGAAUCCUUUAGAGAUAGAGGAGUGCCUUCGGGAACGCUGAGACAGGUGCUGCAUGGCUGUCGUCAGCUCGUGUUGUGAAAUGUUGGGUUAAGUCCCGCAACGAGCGCAACCCUUAUCCUUGUUUGCCAGCACUUCGGGUGGGAACUCCAGGGAGACUGCCGGUGAUAAACCGGAGGAAGGUGGGGACGACGUCAAGUCAUCAUGGCCCUUACGAGUAGGGCUACACACGUGCUACAAUGGCGUAUACAGAGGGCGGCCAACUUGCGAGAGUGAGCGAAUCCCAGAAAGUACGUCGUAGUCCGGAUUGGAGUCUGCAACUCGACUCCAUGAAGUCGGAAUCGCUAGUAAUCGUGGAUCAGAAUGCCACGGUGAAUACGUUCCCGGGCCUUGUACACACCGCCCGUCACACCAUGGGAGUGGGCUGCACCAGAAGUAGUUAGCUUAACUUCGGGAGGCGUUUAUACCCGUU
rnacentral:rRNA from 1 species